CAGUCGCCACGGUAAUACGUAGGGUGCGAGCGUUGUCCGGAAUUACUGGGCGUAAAGAGCUCGUAGGCGGUUUGUCACGUCGUCUGUGAAAUUCUGCAGCUUAACUGUAGGCGUGCAGGCGAUACGGGCAGACUUGAGUACUACAGGGGAGACUGGAAUUCCUGGUGUAGCGGUGAAAUGCGCAGAUAUCAGGAGGAACACCGGUGGCGAAGGCGGGUCUCUGGGUAGUAACUGACGCUGAGGAGCGAAAGCGUGGGUAGCGAACAGGAUUAGAUACCCCGGUAGUCCCUGUCUCUUAUAC
rnacentral:rRNA from 1 species